rnacentral:rRNA from 1 species
CCUACGGGGGGCAGCAGUGGGGAAUAUUGGACAAUGGGGGCAACCCUGAUCCAGCCAUGCCGCGUGUGUGAAGAAGGCCCUCGGGUUGUAAAGCACUUUCAGUGAGGAAGAACGCCUGGUGGUUAAUACCCAUCAGGAAAGACAUCACUCACAGAAGAAGCACCGGCUAACUCCGUGCCAGCAGCCGCGGUAAUACGGAGGGUGCGAGCGUUAAUCGGAAUUACUGGGCGUAAAGCGCGCGUAGGUGGCUUGAUAAGCCGGUUGUGAAAGCCCCGGGCUCAACCUGGGAACGGCAUCCGGAACUGUCAAGCUAGAGUGCAGGAGAGGAAGGUAGAAUUCCCGGUGUAGCGGUGAAAUGCGUAGAGAUCGGGAGGAAUACCAGUGGCGAAGGCGGCCUUCUGGACUGACACUGACACUGAGGUGCGAAAGCGUGGGUAGCAAACAGGAUUAGAUACCCGUGUAGUUC